AGUGAACGCUGGCGGUAGGCCUAACACAUGCAAGUCGAACGGAAGAACAGUAAGAGCUUGCGCUUACGGGUGGCGAGUGGCGGACGGGUGAGGGGUACAUCGGAAUCUACUUUUUCGUGGGGGAUAACGUAGGGGAACUUACGCUAAUACCGCAUACGGACUACGGGUGAAAGCAGGGGAUCUUCGGACAUUGCGCGAUCGAAUGAGCCGAUGUCGGAUUAGCUAGUUGGCGGGGUAAAGGCCCACCAAGGCGACGAUCCGUAGCUGGUCUGAGAGGAUGAUCAGCCACACUGGAACUGAGACACGGUCCAGACUCCUACGGGAGGCAGCAGUGGGGAAUAUUGGACAAUGGGCGCAAGCCUGAUCCAGUCAUACCGCGUGUGUGAAGAAGGCCUUCGGGUUGUAAAGCCCUUUUGUUUGGAAAGAAAAGCAGCAGGUUAAUACCCCGCUGUUCUGACGGUACCAAAAGAAUAAGCACCGGCUAACUUCGUG
rnacentral:rRNA from 1 species